GAACUGAAGAGUUUGAUCAUGGCUCAGAUUGAACGCUGGCGGCAGGCCUAACACAUGCAAGUCGAGCGGAUGAAGGGAGCUUGCUCCUGGAUUCAGCGGCGGACGGGUGAGUAAUGCCUAGGAAUCUGCCUGGUAGUGGGGGAUAACGUCCGGAAACGGGCGCUAAUACCGCAUACGUCCUGAGGGAGAAAGUGGGGGAUCUUCGGACCUCACGCUAUCAGAUGAGCCUAGGUCGGAUUAGCUAGUUGGUGGGGUAAAGGCCUACCAAGGCGACGAUCCGUAACUGGUCUGAGAGGAUGAUCAGUCACACUGGAACUGAGACAC
rnacentral:rRNA from 1 species